UACAGAGGGUGCAAACGUUGUUCGGAUUUACUGGGCGUAAAGCGUGUGUAGGUGGUUUUGUAAGUCAGGUGUGAAAUCCCGGGGCUCAACCUCGGACGUGCAUUUGAUACUGCAGAACUUGAGUACUGGAGAGGUUGGCAGAAUUCUUGGUGUAGAGGUGAAAUUCGUAGAUAUCAAGAGGAAUACCUGUGGCGAAGGCGGCCAACUGGACAGAUACUGACACUGAGACACGAAAGCGUGGGGAUCAAACAGG
rnacentral:rRNA from 1 species